GAUGAACGCUGGCGGCGUGCCUAAUACAUGCAAGUCGAGCGAAGCGGGGACGGGUGCGUAAGACGGGGAAAACCUCCUAUAAGUCUGGGAUAACUGCGGGAAACCGGAGCUAAACCGGAUACUCAUAUGUGGAUCCGCGCUGCAUUAGCUAGUUGGUAAGGUAACGGCUUACCAGGGCAACGAUGCAUAGCCGACCUGAGAGGGUGAUCGGCCACACUGGAACUGAGACACGGUCCAGACUCCUACGGGAGGCAGCAGUAGGGAAUCUUCCGCAAUGGGCGAAAGCCUGACCGAGCAACGCCGCGUGAGUGAUGAAGGUCUUCGGAUCGUAAAACUCUGUUAUUAGGGAAGCGGUACCUAAUCAGAAAGCCACGGCUAACUACGUGCCAGCAGCCGCGGUACUUC
rnacentral:rRNA from 1 species